rnacentral:lncRNA from 1 species
UGCCUACCACCUCCCCCUGCUUUGCACAGCCAAGCCUCUCCCAGCCCUGUGACCUGCUUUUCCUUGCUCAGCUGUGCUGGUCAGAGGAGACGAUCAGCGAUGCAGGCUCUCAUGAAGCAGCUCAGGGAGCCCACCUCUAACCCAACCGAGUCCACCUCUGUUCUAACCUAGCCCACCUGCAGCCCAACCUGGACCACCUCCAACCCAGCCUAGCCCAUCUCCAGCUCGGUUAGCCCACCAUGUGGUGGUCCUCGCGUGCUCCUCUUGAUUUCACCCCUCUCCUAUGCCGUCUGUAGUGGCUCUGCUCUGACCCUGGCCUUUGUGCUGGAGCUUGGCCAGCUUCCCUGCUUGCUGGUGUCUGGCUGGAGGAUAUGUGGAAGCAGUAGAUGGGAAGCAAGAGGUCAAUUGAGGCCAUGGAUGGUGUCAGCGGCAUUCCUGGCACAGAAAAUUGAGCAGGAUUUGGGCUGUGGCACUCAGCUACUUGUCCCAUGGACCUGUAGUGUUAUGGCAGGGCGAAGAAAGGGAUGGGCUGAGCCCGGAUACGUUCUGGAUUUAUCGUGA